AGUUAUCAUAAAGAAAAUGAAUGACAAAGAGUGACUUGCGUUUGCUUUAGUAUUUGUCAUUUUUGGCUUGCUUCACAUGAAUACAGCAGAGUGCCAGGCCUGCCUUGCCCUGCUAUCUGUAUCUUCAGGGAACAGGGCAGAGACUCUGUCAUGCUUCUGGAUCAGAACCUUUCCCUAUGAACAACAAUGGACCCAGGAAGCUAACAAGUCACACUACUCAAGUUAUGGAAGCAGCUGAGAUGAUCUCCAACAGAUGAAAGGUAAAAGAGAUGGUGCAUACACAAGCAUUGAGCUGGACUUCUCAGCCUAUCCCAUCAGCUGCGAUGUUCUUGGCCACCAGCACCCAGCCUUCGGCUUGUGUUAUCUCUGACCUUUGUUCCUCUGAGAAUAAUACAGCUGUUUUCACCUGGAAACCAAGGCUGCCUCAGGGCAGUCUCACCUGGAAACUUGCAGAGACCUGUGAGACAUGAAGUCCUUUAAUCCCAGCAGGUGACCCGCUGAGAAGAGAAGCCAACGAGUUCUUGGCCAUCUCCUUAAAGUCGUG